rnacentral:misc_RNA from 1 species
CGUUCACGACGAUGCAUGCAAUAAACAUCAGUUCAGCUCCUGGAGGAAUACAACUCUGUAUUUGUGUGGGUGUGGGGCAGGUCAGCUCUCUUGAGGCAGACAAAGCAAUUUGCAAACCAAAAUAAAUAGGGCAUCUGCCAUUAUAUUCACUGUCCAACCUCACGUUUUACAACUUACAACUGGACUGAGCUCGGUUGAAAUUCUAAUUUCCACAGACAAUAUCAACAUCCACACUCAUCUAAUUGUCAAAAAUCCUAAGUUCAAUACAAAAUAUGGAUAUUUAACAGCUGGGUAAAUGUUGUCAAAUGCAAAAACUAAUUUAUGGUUUCUGAAUUUCCUCUGAGGAUGAAUUGCUCUUGAAGGAAUUUGCGGCAGAAUCUGAUUUUGAUGGCAUAGGAUCACCUGCUUGAUUGUUGAAUGGACUCUGUUCUAUAAGCUCAUUUGGCUUUGGAUUAAACUUUAGUAGUCUUUCAAAAUCUUUAGCAUUGCCGGUAUCAAUGACCAAUUUAUUGAGUUUUUGCUCCUGCAAACGAACAAUAAGAUUUACUGGACAGAAGAAUUGUUGUAAUGCUUCUAGCUUUCGCUGUANNNNNNNNNGGAACACCAUGUUUCUGAUAAACAUUAUUUUGGGCCAGGUCUUCAUCAAUGUCACUAGCAGUAGUUGCAAAGGGAUGAUUUGCGGGAAUCCAUCUGACUGUAUCAGGGUCAACAUCAGGAGGUAUAGAAUCCCCUUCUUUAAGAAAUAUAGUUGGCCUUUUCCACUGGUAUGCUCGGGAUCUCCUUUUCUGAUGGAUUGCUUGUUGCUCUUCUGUCAGCGUAACUGGGGCCAACUUAUAAACUUUCCCACACAUUUCUACAGUGGAAUUACUCUUACCAACCUUCACCAAUGGAUUAUUGAAUGGAUCAUCAUAUUUGAGAGGCCUUGAGAUGCCUCUUCUAUCAGAUCUUAGUUGCCCACGUCUGACAAGAUCAGCUACAGAGCCAGGACGGUUGUACGUUGACUUCCUCACCACAUACACUCUCACAACAAUAAGCAAAAAUGCAGUUGCAACACACAACCAGAUUAAAAAAUUACUUCCAGCUCCUCUUCUUGUCAGAAAAACAACGGGAGGGAAAAUGGAAAUCAUUCCUUGCAAUUUGGCAAUUGGGUGUUUGGAUUCCAAGGGAAUCUUGACCACCCCAUGUUGUGGAACUCCCCCGUCU